CAGUCGCCACGGUAAUACGGAGGAUCCAAGCGUUAUCCGGAAUCAUUGGGUUUAAAGGGUCCGUAGGCGGUCUUGUAAGUCAGUGGUGAAAGCCCAUCGCUCAACGGUGGAACGGCCAUUGAUACUGCAGGACUUGAAUUAUUGGGAAGUAACUAGAAUAUGUAGUGUAGCGGUGAAAUGCUUAGAGAUUACAUGGAAUACCAAUUGCGAAGGCAGGUUACUACCAAUUGAUUGACGCUGAUGGACGAAAGCGUGGGUAGCGAACAGGAUUAGAUACCCGUGUAGUCCCUGUCUCUUAUAA
rnacentral:rRNA from 1 species